rnacentral:snRNA from 1 species
GUCAUGCUCGCUUUGAUGACUCAUAUAGUAAAAUUGGAACCAUAUAGAGAAGGUAUCAUGGCUUCUGCACAAGGAUGAUAUGCAAAUUCGGGAAGCAUUCCAUAUUUUU